AAUAAACUAGAUUCUCAGGUUGCAGGGGAGCUGAAUUAUUUCUUUUAAAAUGCAAAUAAGGAGAAAACCAAUAAUAAUAUUUGCCUCCUAAGAGGGAACUGGGUGGCUGGGGCCUAGAAGAGGGCUUGCUUUCGAUUUUCUCUCUUUCGGAUGGUUUUGCUUUUGCAACUAUUACCUAUCAACGAGUAAAUAAAAGUGUUUAAAUCAAAAGCUAUUUUAGAUUGUGGAUAAUUUAAAUUCCAUAAAUGGAAGUCAUAAGAAUCUCUGUAGAUAAUGACAUGAAAAUGUGUACUAAAAUAAUCUCGGAAUUUGGACAGUAUGAAACAGUGGCUCUCAGCCUUCUUGUCAUUGACAUACUUGUGACAAAUGAAUGUGAAUGAGGGUGGCAGGGAGUGGGUGUGACAUGGGGCUGUUUAUCAGAAGUGAGAGAGUCACAUUCUUGUUUGAAGAAUUCCCCUGUGAUUCAGAGCUGACUCCCUCCCAGUCUUCCGUCCCUCCUAGCCUUUGAGAAUCACUGCUGUAAGACCGGAGGAGAAGGGGAGCCUUGUGGGCAGUGACAAGUGGAGAACUGCUUUUAAAGAGAGCAAAGAAAAACAGAACACAAGAAAAGAGCAGGAAUAAGAACAUCCAAGGAAAGCAACUCUUCAUUAUAAAUUGUAAUCAUAAGAUUAUCCAAAAUAUUCUGGACAUACAUCAUCUCUCCAAGAGUAAAUGGAACUCCUCUCAGUAGAAAAGCCAGCGGUCGAACUCUGCGUCUCAGAACCAGACCAAGAGCUGUGGGCUUCUGGGGGCAUGGGGCUUCCACCUGAUGAAAAUGAUGACGUAGAUUCACUGCAGAAACAAAACUUCUUCAAAGUGUCUAUACUUCUGUGGAACUUCCUGAACUUCAGAGUUCAGUGUAGUAACAUUUGACCACAGAAUUCAGAAGAAUUCUGAAAAGGAAUUUUAACUCAUUCACUCAAUGACUGCCCAAGGUCACGAAGAAGAAAGAGAUGGAAUUGGUUCCAAGACCCAGGCCACCUGACCUGCAUGUCUCUCCAGGGACCUCAAAUUACUGACAUUGUGGACUAAAAACAGAAUCUGCAAAAUUUGCCUUUCUUUUUCUUUUAAUGUCUUGUUUUGAUUCUUUGGUUUCUGUCCUCCAACCAUGUGUUGUACAGUUAUUUCACGCAAAAUAUUGAGUAUCUUUAAUCGCCUAUAAACUCUCAAUUGCUACAUAAACCAGACAGUCUAAGAAAGUGUACACAACUUACAGAUGUGUCCUAUAAAUACUUUAAAAUGUGAAUGUGGCAGAAUACUUACUAAGCUUUUAUUUCAUAAUGCAAGACAUAUAAUAGUCAUGUAAUAGUUCCUAUCUCUACUGCUUAUAUUCUAGAGAUGAUAAAAUUCAGCUAGUUGGUACAUUUAAGACUGUUCAUUUGGAGACAGGACUUAGUUUUUAGAGAAGACGGAAGUGCAACGCUGAACCAUAUUGUAUUAAUUUGUUGGUGCAUGAGAGUUAAGGCUGAGUCCCAAUCUCUAUGUCAUUCCAUUCUAGUUGUCAAAGAAAUGAUUCAAUUAUCGUCUUUUACUUUCAAAAA